rnacentral:rRNA from 1 species
GUGCCAGCCGCCGCGGUAAGACAGAGGAGCCAAGCGUUGUCCGGAUUGACUGGGCGUAAAGCGCACGCAGGCGGGUGCGCGCGUGGGGUGUGAAACCUGGCCGCUUAACGGCCAGCGGCCAUCCCAUACGGCGCGCCUGGAGCCUUGCAGAGGGCGGUGGAAUUGCCGGUGUAGUGGUGAAAUGCGUAGAGAUCGGCAGGAACACCCAGGGAGAAAUCAGCCGCCUGGGCAAGUGCUGACGCUGAGGUGCGAAAGCGUGGGGAGCGAACCGGAUUAGAAACCCUCGUAGUCC